GCCGAAUGUUGCAAAGAAAGAAAACAUCCAUGGCAUUUAGGGUUUCGGCACUUUGCUAGCUUGAUUAAGAUCGUGAACUGAAGAAAACAGAAUUAGAUCGGGGAAAGUCGAAAGUAAUCGAAUAGUCGAUCGAGUCUGCGGAUAUCCGAGAUUUUGGAGACGCGUUACGAGCUCGGGGAUCAUCAGCAUAGUCCAUCACACUAUCGACUUCUUUUGGUAUUUUGUUAAAUGUUUGAACUCAAUCUUAUGGCAUGUAUAGGUUGAGCACGAUAUUAAUUACAUUUUGAUUGUAAAUUAUAAUAGCUAUGCGAAAGUAAUUAAAUUUUCAUGUUGUGAUCA